rnacentral:rRNA from 1 species
UACGUAGGGCGCAAGCGUUGUCCGGAAUUAUUGGGCGUAAAGAGCUCGUAGGCGGUUUGUCGCGUCUGCUGUGAAAACCUCAGGCUCAACCUGGGGCUUGCAGUGGGUACGGGCAGACUAGAGUGCGGGUAGGGGUGACUGGAAUUCCUGGUGUAGCGGUGGAAUGCGCAGAUAUCAGGAGGAACACCGAUGGCGAAGGCAGGUCACUGGGCCGCAACUGACGCUGAGAAGCGAAAGCAUGGGGAGCGAACAGG